GGCCCCGCCAGUGACCAAUAAUGAAUUCGCCGUAGCAUCUAUGAGAUCACCACCAGUGACAGCUGCCAGAAGCAUUUUUCUUUUGCAACAGGGCUUCUUUAUUUUUGGGGAUGAUAUAAAUAAACUUUUGUGUAUAUAAACUAUGUAGAAGCUCUGUACUUUAUAUGAACCAGUGGGUUGUAAUACCUUCUUUUGAUAUAUACAAGUUACACUGCUUUUGACUA